ACCCGCUGAACUUAAGCAUAUCAAUAAGCGGAGGAAAAGAAACCGACAGGGAUUGCCCUAGUAACGGCGAGUGAAGCGGCAACAGCUCAAAUUUGAAAUCUGGCGUCUUUGGCGUCCGAGUUGUAAUUUGCAGAGGGCGCUUUGGCAUUGGCAGCGGUCCAAGUUCCUUGGAACAGGACGUCACAGAGGGUGAGAAUCCCGUACGUGGUCGCUAGCCUUUACCGUGUAAAGCCCCUUCGACGAGUCGAGUUGUUUGGGAAUGCAGCUCUAAAUGGGAGGUAAAUUUCUUCUAAAGCUAAAUACUGGCCAGAGACCGAUAGCGCACAAGUAGAGUGAUCGAAAGAUGAAAAGCACUUUGGAAAGAGAGUUAAAAAGCACGUGAAAUUGUUGAAAGGGAAGCGCUUGCAGCCAGACUUGCCUGUAGUUGCUCAUCCGGGUUUUUACCCGGUGCACUCUUCUAUAGGCAGGCCAGCAUCAGUUUGGGCGGUUGGAUAAAGGUCUCUGUCAUGUACCUCUCUUCGGGGAGAACUUAUAGGGGAGACGACAUGCAACCAGCCCGGACUGAGGUCCGCGCAUCUGCUAGGAUGCUGGCGUAAUGGCUGU
rnacentral:rRNA from 1 species